GAGGAGCCCGCGCCGGAUUAGCUAGUUGGUGAGGUAAAGGCUCACCAAGGCGACGAUCAGUAGCUGGUCUGAGAGGACGACCAGCCACACUGGAACUGAGACACGGUCCAGACUCCUACGGGAGGCAGCAGUGGGGAAUUUUGGACAAUGGGCGCAAGCCUGAUCCAGCCAUUCCGCGUGAGUGAAGAAGGCCUUCGGGUUGUAAAGCUCUUUCGCAAGGGAAGAAAACUUACCCAAUAACACUGGGUGAGGCUGACGGUACCUUGAUAAGAAGCACCGGCUAACUACGUGCCAGCAGCCGCGGUAAUACGUAGGGUGCGAGCGUUAAUCGGAAUUACUGGGCGUAAAGCGUGCGCAGGCGGUUUUGUAAGUCAGAUGUGAAAGCCCCGGGCUCAACCUGGGAACUGCGUUUGAAACUGCAAGGCUAGAGUGUAGCAGAGGGGGGUAGAAUUCCACGUGUAGCAGUGAAAUGCGUAGAGAUGUGGAGG
rnacentral:rRNA from 1 species